GACUCACGCGGGAAUCUUACCGGGUCCGGACACACUGAGGAUUGACAGACAAACAAUUUAUAUUGUUACAAAGAUGCUAGUUCUUUCAUGAUUAUGUGAUAGGUGGUGCAUGGCCGUUCUUAGUUCGUGGAGUGAUCUGUCUGCUUAAUUGCGUUUCAAUAUUUAAAUAUGUAUACGUAUGACCCAAUAACUAUGUUGUUGUGUGUCUAGUAUUACUAUCAUUUGAAAGCAACGAACGUGACCGUAUCCUUUUAUUAUAUACACACAUGUAUAUUGUUUUUAAAGGGACCGCUGUUU
rnacentral:rRNA from 1 species